AUGUUUGAUUAGGAUGCCAUCGAGCUUUACAAUGGUAACAAAAGUAUGAAUCGCAACCGGGUCUUUCGCAUCGUAAUUUUGGGCACGAUGCGCAACCACUUGCGAUUACAGCAAAACUACAAUCCGGCGCUGGACACCAUCUUGCGUCGGGUUCGACAGCAAGAACUCUUCGUACCAUAAAAUCUUCAUAUUUUUCUAACUGAGCUGAAUCAUUUAGAAUCAUUCGAAUAUCUGUUAACAAUUAAAACCAAAACAAAGGAUGAAGUGGUUCUGAACAUACAGGACAAGCUAUAUUAACUCUUGAUUCGGAAAUCUCGAUCUUAAGGUAUUGUUGGAAGCAAUCAUAGCAGGUACGAUGAUGACAAGAUUGUAUAACAGGAAAUAAUUCAAUUGGUAGAUCGGCUAAACAUAGCGGACACUCCAUUAAUCCACUCUCAUUACUCUGUAAUAGAAAAUACGAGGAAGAUGUUAAUACAGGCAAGAAUUAUUCAAUCUCGGGAAAAUACUAUUAUUAGAAAAAUAUCUUAUUCUUUUGACCAAAGGUCGAAAUAUUGAUGACA
rnacentral:lncRNA from 1 species